GACGAACGCUGGCGGCGUGCUUAACACAUGCAAGUCGAACGGAAAGGCCCUGCUUUUGUGGGGUGCUCGAGUGGCGAACGGGUGAGUAACACGUGAGUAACCUGCCCUUGGCUUUGGGAUAACUUCAGGAAACUGGGGCUAAUACCGGAUAGGAGCUCCUGCUGCAUGGUGGGGGUUGGAAAGUUUCGGCGGUUGGGGAUGGACUCGCGGCUUAUCAGCUUGUUGGUGGGGUAGUGGCUUACCAAGGCUUUGACGGGUAGCCGGCCUGAGAGGGUGACCGGCCACAUUGGGACUGAGAGACGGCCCAGACUCCUACGGGAGGCAACAGUGGGGAGUAUUGCACAAUGGGCGGAAGCCUGAUGCAGCAACGUCGCGUGCGGGAUGACGGCCUUCGGGUUGUAAACCGCUUUCGCCUGUGACGAAGCGUGAGUGACGGUAAUGGGUAAAAAAGCACCGGCUAACUACGUG
rnacentral:rRNA from 1 species